rnacentral:lncRNA from 1 species
GGGAUAUUCUCAGGUGAAAGGAAUUAGUCAGCUGACCCUGAGCUGUGUUGGAAGUUGUGUUUGCUUUGUCUUUGUUGUCUGACGAAUCCUGUAAAAUCCAAGAUGAGAUAACGUGUGUGGCAACAGCCUGAAUGUGAUUGCAGCAGAGUUCAUCAUAUAUAAAAGCAGGUGCAACCAGGUCACAGUCAGACAUUUUCCUCCAUUCUCACUGGAAAGCAUCAACACCCCAAAGAGAAGCCAUGAAGCCAGUGAUCGUGCUGUAUGUUGUGCUGAUGAUGAUUGCACUGGUGUGCAAUGCUUAUGCUGCAUGUGAGAAUGGAUGGUGUACCAAGAAAUGUAGUAGUAAUGAAUAUGAAGACCGCAAUUCAUACUGUGGGGGUGGAAAUAUAUGCUGUGUUAAAAAAGGCAAUUGAAGAACAUCCGUGAAGGAAGACUGUGUGGAUCAAGCAACAUGCAUUAUUGUUUUGUUUUUUCUUCCAUUUAAGUUUAGUUAAAACAGUCAGACACUUACACAAGAGAUGUAUUCAUCAUGAAUUGCAUUUACGCCAGUUUGAAUAAAAUCAAAUAUCACAACU